AGCAACACACCAUUACUGAAACGGAGCACUUUUACCUGUCAGAAUAAAUGCACAUUGAAUAUUUUAAUUAAAAGAUUCCACUUGAAAGCUUAUGAGACUCAUCCUUAUCUUCAAGUGAAAGAAGCACCUCAAGCAACAGCUGCACGCGUCCUGAAAACAGUGACGCAUCUAGAACAAGCCGUCCAACCGAAAACAGCAACACCACAUCUCUCCCUGUGGAAUCGAUUGAAGAGAAACCUGAGGAAAUAUACACUUUAGGAAAGCAGAGGAAAGAGCUAUAGUAGCGUAUUGGGAUCCACACCCAGAAAAAUGAGCAACACUUGGAUUAUUAAAGAAAAGCUGGAGCAGAUCAAGGCAGAAAUGCAGAGACUUUCAGAACGGCAUGCUCUCACUCGCCCUGAACGGAAAGCGUAUCAUCCUUUUGUGUGGAACAGCCUGAGUCCUUACAGAGACACCACAGAGAUUGACUAUCUGAUCGUCAUGGCCUCUGUCCAUCAUACCCGGAAUCGAAGAGCUUCAGUAAGAACUGUCCAUCUGUCACACUGACACAUCCUGUCCAUUCAUUUGAUGAAUAUUGGACAUUUAUGAUUUUCACACUGACAAACAUAAUGAGGAAAGUAAUGUAUUUAUAAUUUUACACAGCUAAUGAACAAUUAAUGUGCUAAAGCCUACACAAAACUCCUCUUUAUUCGAUUUAAUGACAUUACUGUUUGGGCAUACAUUAUGACUGGCCUUUCAGUAUUUGUCUGGCAAUAUAUUCUUCUUUUAGUCUUUUACAAGCUUUUAAUGUUUUACAAGCUCCAGCACUGAUCACACAGAGUACGUCACAGAGACGCACUGAACAUCCCACUGGCAAAUAAGAUUAAAAAGAAUGACUGUGAUAUAAUUUAUUGUGUCCUUCAUGUAAGUCCCAAUCAUUUUUAAAAUUCAAGCAUGUUGGAUCAUGCUGCUUGAAGACAGAGUUCAUAAAACGCCUAAAGAGCAUCUUUUAGAUAUGCAUAUGUGCCAUUGUGUGUGAAACCGCUUUGAAAUUCUUAGAUGUUCAACACAGAAACUGAUGAAA